GGGCCCGUAGCUCAUCUGGUAGAGCGUCCCGCUCGCAGCGGGAAGGUGGAGAGUUCGAGUCUCUUCGGGUCCA
rnacentral:tRNA from 1 species